UACGUAGGGGGCAAGCGUUGUCCGGAUUUACUGGGCGUAAAGGGCGCGUAGGCGGCCAGCACAAGUCAGUUGUGAAAUCUCCGAGCUUAACUCGGAAAGGUCAACUGAUACUGUGCGGCUAGAGUGCAGAAGGGGCAACUGGAAUUCUUGGUGUAGCGGUGGAAUGCGCAGAUAUCAGGAGGAACACCGAUGGCGAAGGCAGGUCUCUGGGCCGCAACUGACGCUGAGGAGCGAAAGCAUGGGGAGCGAACAGG
rnacentral:rRNA from 1 species